rnacentral:lncRNA from 1 species
CUUAUUCACAAUUAUGCAGCCCUUUAUGGAAGCUUCCUACAGAAAGCCACACAGAGGGAUGCAAGAACCUGGUUUGUCUGGGAUCCUGCCGAGAGGUACCAAUUUAAUGAAAACGAGGAAGCCAGACCACAUCAUAGAAAAAAAAAUCCACGCAAAUUUUCUUCCAGUUAAAAAAGAAAACAAAGGAUGCAUUUAUGAACAUUAUGGGCAUCUCAAUCUAUCACAGGAAUACUUCUGA